rnacentral:rRNA from 1 species
AGAUCUAAUCCAGAGUACCACGAGACACGUGAAACCUUGUGGGAAGCAGGGAGGACCACCUCCCAAGGCUAAAUACUACCUAGUGACCGAUAGUGAAGCAGUACCGUGAGGGAAAGGUGAAAAGAACCCCGGAAGGGGAGUGAAAUAGAACCUGAAACCGUGUGCCUACAACCGAUCGGAGCACGUUAAAGUGUGACGAUGUGCUUUUUGUAGAACGAGCCAGCGAGUUACGCUAUGUAGCAAGGUUAAGUACUUAAGGUAUGGAGCCGAAGGGAAACCGAGUCUGAAAAGGGCGAAAAGUUGCAUGGUGUAGACCCGAAACCGGGUGACCUAUCCAUGGCCAGGUUGAAGCGAGAGUAAAAUCUCGUGGAGGACCGAACCACGUUGGUGUUGAAAAACCAUGGGAUGAGCUGUGGAUAGCGGAGAAAUUCCAAUCGAACUCGGAGAUAGCUGGUUCUCCUCGAAAUAGCUUUAGGGCUAGCGUCGUGUAAUUGAGUAAUGGAGGUAGAGCACUGAAUGGGCUAGGGGCUAUAGUAGUUACCGAACCCUAUCAAACUCCGAAUGCCAUAUACUUGUAUCACGGCAGUCAGACUGCGAAUGAUAAGAUCCGUAGUCAAAAGGGAAACAGCCCAGACCAUCAGCUAAGGUCCCAAAGUGUAAGUUAAGUGGAAAAGGAUGUGGGAUUUCUAAGACAACUAGGAUGUUGGCUUAGAAGCAGCCACUCAUUUAAAGAGUGCGUAAUAGCUCACUAGUCAAGAGAUCCUGCGCCGAAGAUGUCCGGGGCUCAAACUUACCACCGAAGCUAUGGGUGUACACUAUGUGUACGCGGUAGAGGAGCUUUCUGUAUGGGUUGAAGUCGUACCGUAAGGAGCGGUGGACUGUACAGAAGUGAGAAUGCUGGCAUAAGUAGCGAGAAAUAAGUGAGAAUCUUAUUGGCCGAAAACCUAAGGUUUCCUGAGGAAGGUUCGUCCGCUCAGGGUUAGUCGGGACCUAAGCCGAGGCCGAAAGGCGUAGGUGAUGGACAAUCGGUUGAUAUUCCGAUACC